rnacentral:lncRNA from 13 species
CUGAAUAGUAAGAGAGUUGGGAUAUUUUUAAAUCAUUUUCUGUCACUCAUUGAUUGUAGACUAAUCACUCUGAGUGCUAAUUACAGUACUUCAAGCCUGGUUUUGUGGGACAACAUGAGACCUGAAAGCCUGGGAAAGUCCUCUAAUAAGGAAUGCAGGCUCUGGUUUACGUCAUUGCAAGAGGAAAUGCAAAUCACUAGAUGACCUACUCUACACAAUAAAGAUGGCAGAAACACAAUCAGUGGUUGUAAAAGAAAGACCCAAUGCCUUGAGCAACCCCACUAAACUGCUGCCAGGACCAUUGCUUUUGACCAUUCCAUUGGUGCUUUGA